UACGAAGGGGGCUAGCGUUGCUCGGAAUCACUGGGCGUAAAGCGCACGUAGGCGGCUUUCUAAGUCAGGGGUGAAAUCCUGGAGCUCAACUCCAGAACUGCCUUUGAUACUGGAGAGCUUGAGCUCGGAAGAGGUGAGUGGAACUCCGAGUGUAGAGGUGAAAUUCGUAGAUAUUCGGAAGAACACCAGUGGCGAAGGCGGCUCACUGGUCCGGUACUGACGCUGAUGUGCGAAAGCGUGGGGAGCAAACAGG
rnacentral:rRNA from 1 species